rnacentral:rRNA from 1 species
GUCUACUGCCACGCCGCCCUGAGCACACCCGACCCCGUCUGAGCUCGGAAGCUAAGCAGGGUCGGGCCUGGUUAGUACUUGGAUGGGAGACCACCUAGGAAGACCAGAUGCUGCAGGCA